CAGUUGACAUCAACUCUAACUUUAGCAUCUUUCUUUUAAGCAAAGUAGAAAGUGCUAUCAAGUUGGGGUAGAUGUUUGCUG
ensembl:miRNA dre-mir-430b-16 microRNA 430b-16